AAAUAAGUAGGGAAGCACGUGAGCUGACUGUCAAGAAAAGCCGCUAUUGUUUGCAGGAUACCCGUACCGUAAACCGACACAGGUGGAUGAGGAGAGAAUCCUAAGGCCGACGGGAGAAGCAUUGUUAAGGAACUCGGCAAAAUGACUCCGUAACUUCGGGAGAAGGAGUGCCAGUAAGAUGGCCGCAGAGAAUUGGCCCAAGCAACUGUUUAGCAAAAACACAGGUCUAUGCAGAACCGAAAGGUGAGGUAUAUGGGCUGACGCCUGCCCGGUGCUGGAAGGUUAAGGGGAGAGGUUAGCGCAAGCGAAGCUUUGAACUUAAGCCCCAGUAAACGGCGGCCGUAACUAUAACGGUCCUAAGGUAGCGAAAUUCCUUGUCGGGUAAGUUCCGACCCGCACGAAAGGCGUAAUGAUUUGGGCACUGUCUCAACAAUGCACCCGGUGAAAUUGAAAUACCAGUGAAGAUGCUGGUUACCUGCGCCAGGACGGAAAGACCCCAUGGAGCUUUACUCCAGCUUGAUACUGGGAUUCGGUAUUGCAUGUACAGGAUAGGUGGGAGGCUAGGAAAUGGUAACGCCAGUUGCCAUGGAGCCAAUGUUGGGAUACCACCCUUGCAGUACUGGGUUUCUAACCAGCAGCCGUGAUCCGGCUGGGGGACAAUGUCAGGUGGGGAGUUUGACUGGGGCGGUCGCCUCCGAAAGGGUAUCGGAGGCGCUCAAAGGUUCCCUCAGAAUGGCUGGAAACCAUUCGAAGAGUGCAAAGGCAGAAGGGAGCUUGACUGCGACACCGACGGGUGGAGCAGGUACGAAAGUAGGACUUAGUGAUCCGGUGGUAUAAAGUGGGAUUGCCAUCGCUCAACGGAUAAAAGCUACCCUGGGAUAACAGGCUUAUCACUCCCAAGAGUUCACAUCGACGGAGUGGUUUGGCACCUCGAUGUCGGCUCAUCGCAUCCUGGGGCUGAAGUAGGUCCCAAGGGUUGGGCUGUUCGCCCAUUAAAGCGGUACGCGAGCUGGGUUCAGAACGUCGUGAGACAGUUCGGUCCCUAUCCGGCGUGGGCGUAAGAUAUUUGAGAGGAGCUGUCCUUAGUACGAGAGGACCGGGAUGGACUGGCCGCUGGUGUAUCUGUUGUCUUACCAAAGGCAUAGCAGAGUAGCCAAGCCGGGAAGGGAUAAACGCUGAAGGCAUCUAAGCGUGAAGCCCCCCUCAAGAUGAGAUAUCUCAUAACGUCAAGUUAGUAAGACCCCUUGAAGACGACGAGGUAGAUAGGGCAGAGGUGGAAGUGUGGUAACACAUGGAGCUGACUGUUACUAAUAGGUCGAGGGCAUAACCG
rnacentral:rRNA from 1 species